CGACCGGCGCACGGGUGAGUAACGCGUGGGUAACCUGCCUCAUACAGGGGGAUAACAGUUGGAAACGGCUGCUAAUACCGCAUAAGCGCACAGUACCGCAUGGUACGGUGUGAAAAACUCCGGUGGUAUGAGAUGGACCCGCGUCUGAUUAGGUAGUUGGUGGGGUAACGGCCUACCAAGGCGACGAUCGGUAGCCGGACUGAGAGGUUGAACGGCCACAUUGGGACUGAGACACGGCCCAG
rnacentral:rRNA from 1 species